rnacentral:rRNA from 1 species
AUUGAACGCUGGCGGCAGGCCUAACACAUGCAAGUCGAACGGCAGCAGAGUAAUUGCUUCUGGUUACGGCGGCCGACGGGCGAGCAAUGCCUGGAUAUAUGCGUGUUUGCGUGUGCUAACGUCAUAACAUGGGCGCACAUACGCCAUUAGUCCAUAGGACGUACGGGGGGGAUCAUCGGACCUUACGCUCUCACACGAGCCUAGGUCGGAUUAGCUAGUUGGUGGGGUAAAGGCCUACCAAGGCGACGAUCCGUAACUGGUCUGAGAGGAUGAUCAGUCACACUGGAACUGAGACACGGUCCAGACUCCUACGGGAGGCAGCAGUGGGGAAUAUUGGACAAUGGGCGAAAGCCUGAUCCAGCCAUGCCGCGUGUGUGAAGAAGGUCUUCGGAUUGUAAAGCACUUUAAGUUGGGAGGAAGGGCAGUAAGUUAAUACCUUGCUGUUUUGACGUUACCAACAGAAUAAGCACCGGCUAACUUCGUG